CCACAAAGGUAAAGAGAUGAUGU
rnacentral:siRNA from 1 species